rnacentral:rRNA from 1 species
UGAACGCUAGCUACAGGCUUAACACAUGCAAGUCGAGGGGCAGCAUGGUCUUAGCUUGCUAAGGCCGAUGGCGACCGGCGCACGGGUGAGUAACACGUAUCCAACCUGCCGUCUACUCUUGGACAGCCUUCUGAAAGGAAGAUUAAUACAAGAUGGCAUCAUGAGUCCGCAUGUUCACAUGAUUAAAGGUAUUCCGGUAGACGAUGGGGAUGCGUUCCAUUAGAUAGUAGGCGGGGUAACGGCCCACCUAGUCUUCGAUGGAUAGGGGUUCUGAGAGGAAGGUCCCCCACAUUGGAACUGAGACACGGUCCAAACUCCUACGGGAGGCAGCAGUGAGGAAUAUUGGUCAAUGGGCGAGAGCCUGAACCAGCCAAGUAGCGUGAAGGAUGACUGCCCUAUGGGUUGUAAACUUCUUUUAUAAAGGAAUAAAGUCGGGUAUGCAUACCCGUUUGCAUGUACUUUAUGAAUAAGGAUCGGCUAACUCCGUGCCAGCAGCCGCGGUAAUACGGAGGAUCCGAGCGUUAUCCGGAUUUAUUGGGUUUAAAGGGAGCGUAGAUGGAUGUUUAAGUCAGUUGUGAAAGUUUGCGGCUCAACCGUAAAAUUGCAGUUGAUACUGGAUAUCUUGAGUGCAGUUGAGGCAGGCGGAAUUCGUGGUGUAGCGGUGAAAUGCUUAGAUAUCACGAAGAACUCCGAUUGCGAAGGCAGCCUGCUAAGCUGCAACUGACAUUGAGGCUCGAAAGUGUGGGUAUCAAACAGGAUUAGAUACCCUGGUAGUCCACACGGUAAACGAUGAAUACUCGCUGUUUGCGAUAUACGGCAAGCGGCCAAGCGAAAGCGUUAAGUAUUCCACCUGGGGAGUACGCCGGCAACGGUGAAACUCAAAGGAAUUGACGGGGGCCCGCACAAGCGGAGGAACAUGUGGUUUAAUUCGAUGAUACGCGAGGAACCUUACCCGGGCUUAAAUUGCAGAUGAAUUACGGUGAAAGCCGUAAGCCGCAAGGCAUCUGUGAAGGUGCUGCAUGGUUGUCGUCAGCUCGUGCCGUGAGGUGUCGGCUUAAGUGCCAUAACGAGCGCAACCCUUGUUGUCAGUUACUAACAGGUUCCGCUGAGGACUCUGACAAGACUGCCAUCGUAAGAUGUGAGGAAGGUGGGGAUGACGUCAAAUCAGCACGGCCCUUACGUCCGGGGCUACACACGUGUUACAAUGGGGGGUACAGAGGGCCGCUACCACGCGAGUGGAUGCCAAUCCCCAAAACCUCUCUCAGUUCGGACUGGAGUCUGCAACCCGACUCCACGAAGCUGGAUUCGCUAGUAAUCGCGCAUCAGCCACGGCGCGGUGAAUACGUUCCCGGGCCUUGUACACACCGCCCGUCAAGCCAUGGGAGCCGGGGGUACCUGAAGUGCGUAACCGCGAGGAGCGCCCUAGGGUAAAACUGGUGACUGGGGCUAA